rnacentral:lncRNA from 11 species
CUUGCAAAAACACAAGAGGCUUCAGGGGGGGAAAUGUGUACUUGGGCAUGAAAGCAACAGCUCUUCUUGCUCAUAUUGCAGCCCACAAAUGUUCCCCCAGAGCAACAGAGGUAUGGGAGAGCAUUUGACUGGCUUCCUGAGGAGGGAUGCUAGUUGUAAAAUCUGUCCUGACAUCACAGGCCUGGCAUCAAAGGUGAGAG